rnacentral:sRNA from 1 species
AACUGGUACAUAACAGCUCCUCUAGAUUACGAAAAAAUAAAACAGAUCCAAAUAACUUGUAUAUUGAGUGACUCUUACUUACAAUCUGAACAGAAAGUGUUGACGAUCCUUGUCUUAGACGUGAAUGAACCGCCAUACUUCGUGACAAGUCUCUUUGAUUGUCUGCUAGAAGAAAGCAAUGCAGGUGUUUCUUCAUGUUUUCUGGACAUCCAAGUUGGGGACCCAGAACAUGACUCGAUACGGUCCAUUGAUGUAAGGACUGCUUCUAAUACAGGCUCUUGUAUAAA